UACGAAGGGGGCUAGCGUUGCUCGGAAUCACUGGGCGUAAAGCGCACGUAGGCGGAUUGUUAAGUCAGGGGUGAAAUCCUGGAGCUCAACUCCAGAACUGCCUUUGAUACUGACGGUCUUGAGUCCGGGAGAGGUGAGUGGAACUCCGAGUGUAGAGGUGAAAUUCGUAGAUAUUCGGAAGAACACCAGUGGCGAAGGCGGCUCACUGGCCCGGUACUGACGCUGAGGCGCGAAAGCGUGGGGAGCAAACAGG
rnacentral:rRNA from 1 species